GCGGAUAUGGUUUAAUGGUAAAAUUUCUCUUUGCCAAGGAGAAGACGUGGGUUCGAUUCCCGCUAUCCGCC
rnacentral:tRNA from 5 species